UGUGCAUCAUGGGCCUGUGGAAGUCAGAAGGGGGCAUUGGAUGCCCUGGGACUGGAAUUACAGAUGACGAGUCACCAUGAAUGUGCAGGAAACAAAACCCAGGUCUUCUGAAAGAUCAUAGCAGCAAGUUUGCUUGCUUGAACGCCUCUUAAUUUCUCUGCUGAACAAGCAAAAUUGCUCUAAGGAAUGGCAUUAAAAGGGACAAGCAGCUCGUGUGCCGUAGACCAACAGUUGACAUCCCUUACUUGUGACUCUAAGUAUUGGGGGCCGGAUACCAAGAGUAAGGUCGGGGUCCUGUCAACUUUAGGCCUCAGGUGAGUCUGGUGUGCUGAUCCUCCAUCUCUUGGCAACAAGGCUUAAGCAAGUCCAUAAAGUGAAGGAAAAGUUGGGGAUGAUGGUGCUGGCAGCUACUGGCAGAGGAAAAGACUUGACCUAAAAGGAGUCUAUUCACUGCAUGCAGGACGGGAGGGCAAGACCGUGUUCAAGCGGGGCAAAGCAGAGUUUGCCUGGCUGUGCACACAGCUAGGGCAGGUCUGGAGCCCUUUCUUCCUGAGACCAUGGGGACUCAUUAGCUACUCUUGAGCUGGAGGCGGGCCUGGAGGUGGUGCCUGCAGGAAGCUGGCCUGCGGACAAUUGUGGAGCCCAGGGGAGGCAAAGCUAGAGGUCAG